ACGGGAGGCAGCAGUGAGGAAUAUUGGUCAAUGGGCGGAAGCCUGAACCAGCCAAGUCGCGUGAAGGAUGAAGGUAUUAUGUAUUGUAAACUUCUUUAGCUGUGGAGCAAUAAUCUCCAUGUAUGGAGAGAUGAGAGUACACAGAGAAUAAGGAUCGGCUAACUCCGUGCCAGCAGCCGCGGUAAUACGGAGGAUCCGAGCGUUAUCCGGAUUUAUUGGGUUUAAAGGGUGCGCAGGCGGCUUUUUAAGUCAGUGGUUAAAUCGGGACGCUAAACGUCGUCACGCCAUUGAUACUGGAGGGCUUGAUUGCGUGCGAGGUUUGCGGAAUUCGUCGUGUAGCGGUGAAAUGCAUAGAUAUGACGAAGAACACCGAUUGCGUAGGCAGCAGACCAGGCCGUAAAUGACGCUCAUGCACGAAAGUGCGGGGAUCGAACAGGAUUAGAUACCCUGGUA
rnacentral:rRNA from 1 species